rnacentral:rRNA from 1 species
GGAUUAGAUACCCUGGUAGUCCACGCUGUAAACGCUGUCUACUAGCUGUGUGUUGUUUUAUAACGAUGCGUGGCGCAGCUAACGCGUUAAGUAGACCGCCUGGGGAGUACGGCCGCAAGGUUAAAACUCAAAUGAAUUGACGGGGGCCCGCACAAGCGGUGGAGCAUGUGGUUUAAUUCGAUGCAACGCGAAGAACCUUACCAUCCCUUGACAUCCCAAGAACUUAGCAGAGAUGCUUUGGUGCCUUCGGGAGCUUGGAGACAGGUGCUGCAUGGCUGUCGUCAGCUCGUGUUG